UACGGGGGGGGCAAGCGUUGUUCGGAAUUACUGGGCGUAAAGGGCUCGUAGGCGGCCAACUAAGUCAGACGUGAAAUCCCUCAGCUUAACCGGGGAACUGCGUCUGAUACUGGAUGGCUUGAGGUUGGGAGAGGGAUGCGGAAUUCCAGGUGUAGCGGUGAAAUGCGUAGAUAUCUGGAGGAACACCGGUGGCGAAGGCGGCAUCCUGGACCAAUUCUGACGCUGAGGAGCGAAAGCCAGGGGAGCAAACGGG
rnacentral:rRNA from 1 species